rnacentral:hammerhead_ribozyme from 1 species
AUUCAGCUAACGAAUGCGAAAUUGGACGAAACGCGCGUCCUGGAU